GAAAGCUCGGGUGGGUUGGUAACCAGAUGGAGACUCAACUGUUCCGCCGCCGAGGCGAAUCUUCAGACGCGGCGCCAGGCAGGGCAGGUAUCCGCGAGCGCCUGCAUGGCCAGGCGCUGAGAAAGGAACGCUCAGCCCUAGAACUUUGCUCCUCCACCCAGGAGCUCUGGCUGGGUGUAGCUGGUUAGCUGUCUUUCAACUUUCCACCCAAGCUUAACGGUCAGAAUGCACUUGUACACAGAGAAAGAGGGCACAGAAAUGAUAGAGAGAGUGGGGACACAUUUUUUUUUCCCCAGAUUAAGAGAAUUUUCAACCUAUUAAUCCCACAUCCCUUUAGAGAGAAAACACCGCUGUCCGUGGGAGAUGCUGCUAUAUCAUUGCAGUUGAUGUUAAUUUCUGUUGAAGCUUUUUUAGAAUGUCUACUCCUAACAGUACGAGGUAACUGACGGAGGGCCAGGGUUCCAUAGUCUCUUGUAGAUCUCCAGUCUCCUCAUCUGCCAAGCAAGGGAAAUAACUUCCUUCAGUUGCGCAGUGAUCUAUCUGACUCUCAAGUCAAAGCUGUCUUCCAAAGUAGAGAGAACAAGCAGACCUCACACCAUUAUCUAGGUAAAAUAAAGUCAGUACAGCAUUCUGGUAAGC